rnacentral:misc_RNA from 1 species
UCAAACUUGGUCAUUUAGAGGAAGUAAAAGUCGUAACAAGGUUUCCGUAGGUGAACCUGCGGAAGGAUCAUUAUUGAAUAAAUCUGAUAUGGUUGUAGCUGACUCUCCAUGGGUACGUGCACACCUUAUCACCUUUAUUUUCUCUCCCUGUGCACCCUUGUAGGCUUGGAUACCGAUCGUCGCAAGACGGAUGCAGAGAUUGCCACUUUUUGGCUUUCUUUGAAUUUCCAAGUCCUAUGAUUAAUAUACCCCAAAUGAAUGUUAUAGAAUGUAUUCAAAUCGGGCCUUGUGCCUAUAAAUCAUAUACAACUUUCAGCAACGGAUCUCUUGGCUCUCGCAUCGAUGAAGAACGCAGC